rnacentral:rRNA from 1 species
UACGGGGGGAGCAAGCGUUGUUCGGAUUUACUGGGCGUAAAGGGCGCGUAGGCGGCCACUGCAAGUCGGUUGUGAAAUCUCCGGGCUUAACCCGGAAAGGUCAAUCGAUACUGCAGGGCUAGAGUGCGGAAGGGGCAACUGGAAUUCUCGGUGUAGCGGUGAAAUGCGUAGAUAUCGAGAGGAACACCUGCGGCGAAGGCGGGUUGCUGGGCCGACACUGACGCUGAAGUGCGAAAGCUAGGGGGAGCGAACGGG